AGUAAUGCCUAGGAAUCUGCCUGGUAGUGGGGGACGAACGUUUCGAAAGGAACGCUAAUACCGCAUACGUCCUACGGGAGAAAGCAGGGACCUUCGGGCCUUGCGCUAUCAGAUGAGCCUAGGUCGGAUUAGCUAGUUGGUGAGGUAAUGGCUCACCAAGGCGACGAUCCGUAACUGGUCUGAGAGGAUGAUCAGUCACACUGGAACUGAGACACGGUCCAGACUCCUACGGGAGGCAGCAGAC
rnacentral:rRNA from 1 species